GACGAACGCUGGCGGCGCGCUUAACACAUGCAAGUCGAACGGAAAGGCCUGCUUUCCCUUGUGGAUUGCGAGUACUCGAGUGGCGAACGGGUGAGUAACACGUGAGUGAUCUGCCCCCAACUUGGGUAUAAGCCUGGGAAACUGGGUCUAAUUCCCGAUAGGACUGCAGGGUGGUGCCUGUGGUGGAAAACGAUUUUCUAGUGGUUGGGGAUGAGCUCGCGGCCUAUCAGCUUGUUGGUGGGGUAAUGGCCUACCAAGGCGGCGACGGGUAGCCGGCCUGAGAGGGUGGACGGCCACAUUGGGACUGAGAUACGGCCCAGACUCCUACGGGAGGCAGCAGUGGGGAAUAUUGCACAAUGGGCGGAAGCCUGAUGCAGCGACGCCGCGUGGGGGAUGACGGCCUUCGGGUUGUAAACUCCUUUCGACCGCGAGGAAGCCACCUGGUUGGAAGGGUGGUGACGGUAGUGGUAGAGGAAGCACCGGCUAACUACGUG
rnacentral:rRNA from 1 species